rnacentral:rRNA from 1 species
AUUGAACGCUGGCGGCAGGCUUAACACAUGCAAGUCGAGCGAGCGGCGGACGGGUGAGUAAUGUCUGGGAAACUGCCUGAUGGAGGGGGAUAACUACUGGAAACGGUAGCUAAUACCGCAUACCAUCAGACGUGCCCAGUUGGGAUUAGGUAGUAGGUGGGGUAAUGGCUCACCGAGGCCACGACCCCUAGCUGGUCUGAGAGGUGGACCAGCAACACGGGAACUGAGACACGGUCCAGACUCCUACGGGAGUCAGCAGUGGGGAAGUUUGCACAAUGGGCGCAGGCCUGUUGCAGCCAUGCCGCGUGGGUGAAGAGGGCCUCCGGGUUUUAAAGCACUUUCAGCGAGGAGGCGUUACUCCCAGAAGAAGCACCGGCUAACUCCGUGCCAGCAGCCGCGGUAAUUC